AUCCCCAUGUCUGGAAUGGAUUCUUCCAUCUCAACAGCAUUGGAAUCCAUGAUGUCAUCGCUGCCCAUUACAGGGGGGGAAUCCAUCACAUGUGUUGUAGUGGCUGUAUACAGACAUACUCAGCCCACCUUUCUAGGUAACGUCCUGCGGCCACUCAGAUUAAACUGCAGGAAGCUGAGAACGAUGAUCAAACAAAGGAAGAACGUGCCGAUGUGCCAACAACCUGACCAGCUUUAGAAUAGGGGGACAUUUUUACCAGGAACAUUCCCAACUGCUGAUUGGCUGGAGAUUCUGGCAUUUCUAGCUCUAGUGUGAUGUGAUAGGGCUGACCAUAUGUCAUUACCUGUAGUCGGCAGAAAAAAAGAAAAGAAAAGAAAACUAUGGCAGUGAGACAUUAGCCUCCAGAAAAGAACACAUGGAAUGAUGAGGAGAUGGACAGUCAAUCCUGCAAAGCAGAAACACACAUUUGACAUGUGUGACAUCAUGAGCUACUGAGAAUACAGCCUAAAUGAAUAAAGGCAUUGGUAUCUUGGCUUUUUUAUACUUCAUGAUUUUGCAUCAUAGUAGCGCAUUGAAUAUAUAAUCUAACUAGCUUCUCAACAGCGAGAUGCACACAAUGGGCACAACAACAUGGAACACUUUACAGCCAUGUACAUUUCUAACAUUCUUUAUUCAUUGAUUUUGGUGCAGAUCAGAUGUACGUUAUUCGUUUUGCUUGUGGUGAUGUCCAAAGGCAGAAGGCGACGCAAUUUGCUACUGGAUUGUUCUAAAUAUUCGAGCUUUGCUUCCAGCCUUUUAAACUCCAUGUAAAGUGUAAAAAUAUUGUUCAGACUAAGGAGAGAUGUUGAGAA